AUGGAAUAAAGGCAGGGAACAUCUGUCAGCCCUGGCUGCAGAUAAGGGGAUUAACGUGACCUCUUGGCACGGGAGAUGGAGAGACGAGGAAACACAGGGCUCUUGCUCAGUUAUUGCUUCUGGCUGCUCACGCUCAGAGGUUUGUCCUUCCUUCUGUGUGGCUGCUCACAGGAGCAACCAAAAGAAGAGCCAGCAAGCAUUUGGGAAGUUGAGCUGCUCUAAAAACCUGGCAUCUGGACAAGCUGAACCCACCCACACCAGCUUCUCUCAUCUGCUACCUACAAAGCGCCUGGCUGAGUGCACUCGGAAAAGGUGCUCUCAGUGACUGCCCAGGAUGUUUCUACAGCGGGAAAUUUGGAGAGGUCAUGUUGGGAAAAACUAGUGAGAAGCUUCUCCUCCCUAUUUUAUGAAGAAACGAUGUAGCAGUGUAUGUCUAACAUAUACUAAGUGGCAGAAGCAGGAUAUUCAGUGUCAGAAAGUCUACAGUAUUUAAAAGGUUACACAGUUAAUACGGCUAAAAGCCUUCCUUUCUGAAACUGACUCUCAAACACUGAUUAUAGUUUAGAUUUUAAUUCUUUGGAAGUGUUGAUUGCUCAGACCAAAUCCUCACAGUGUCCCAUACCCUGAGAUGUUCAGAUCAGAACAUGUUUACAAAAGCAGUUAAACAGUCUGCAGGGAGGGUGAAAAUCUCU